rnacentral:tRNA from 1 species
GGCUGGAUAGCUCAGUUGGUAGAGCACCAGAAUAGCAAUCCGGAGGUCGCAGGUUCAAACCCGCUCCAGUCA